UACGAAGGGUGCAAGCGUUAAUCGGAAUUACUGGGCGUAAAGCGUGCGUAGACGGCGAUUUAAGUCAAUUGUGAAACCCCUGGGCUCAACCUAGGACGUGCAGUUGAUACUGAAUUGCUUUGAGUUUGAGAGAGGAUGGUGGAAUUCCUGGUGUAGCGGUGAAAUGCGUAGAGAUCAGGAGGAACACUAGUGGCGAAGGCGGCCAUCUGGCUUAAAACUGACGUUGAGGCACGAAAGCGUGGGGAGCAAACAGG
rnacentral:rRNA from 1 species